UCUUAUGGAUGAGGAAAAACAGUGGUUUCUUGAGAUGGAAUCUACUCCUUGUGAAGACGCUGUGAA
rnacentral:pre_miRNA from 2 species